AUACCUACGUGGCAGGGGAGAUACCAUAAUCAUGAAAGUGGUUUCCCAGGGUGAGGCUUAUCCGUUGUACUCCAGGUGUCCUGACCCCUAUGAUUUCCCCAAUGUGGGAAGCUUAGUUAACUACAUAAUUUGUGGUACAAAAGAUUCUUUA
rnacentral:snRNA from 1 species